AACGGUAACAGGAAGCAGCUUGCUGCUUCGCUGACGAGUGGCGGACGGGUGAGUAAUGUCUGGGAAACUGCCUGAUGGAGGGGGAUAACUACUGGAAACGGUAGCUAAUACCGCAUAACGUCGCAAGACCAAAGAGGGGGACCUUCGGGCCUCUUGCCAUCGGAUGUGCCCAGAUGGGAUUAGCUAGUAGGUGGGGUAACGGCUCACCUAGGCGACGAUCCCUAGCUGGUCUGAGAGGAUGACCAGCCACACUGGAACUGAGACACGGUCCAGACUCCUACGGGAGGCAGCAGUGGGGAAUAUUGCACAAUGGGCGCAAGCCUGAUGCAGCCAUGCCGCGUGUAUGAAGAAGGCCUUCGGGUUGUAAAGUACUUUCAGCGGGGAGGAAGGUGUUGAGGUUAAUAACCUCAGCAAUUGACGUUACCCGCAGAAGAAGCACCGGCUAACUCCGUGCCAGCAGCCGCGGUAAUACGGAGGGUGCAAGCGUUAAUCGGAAUUACUGGGCGUAAAGCGCACGCAGGCGGUCUGUCAAGUCGGAUGUGAAAUCCCCGGGCUCAACCUGGGAACUGCAUUCGAAACUGGCAGGCUAGAGUCUUGUAGAGGGGGGUAGAAUUCCAGGUGUAGCGGUGAAAUGCGUAGAGAUCUGGAGGAAUACC
rnacentral:rRNA from 1 species